GACGAACGCUGGCGGCGUGCUUAACACAUGCAAGUCGAACGGAAAGGCCCUGCUGUUGUGGGGUGCUCGAGUGGCGAACGGGUGAGUAACACGUGAGUAACCUGCCCUUGACUUUGGGAUAACUUCAGGAAACUGGGGCUAAUACCGGAUAGGAGCUCCUGCUGCAUGGUGGGGGUUGGAAAGUUUCGGCGGUUGGGGAUGGACUCGCGGCUUAUCAGCUUGUUGGUGGGGUAGUGGCUUACCAAGGCUUUGACGGGUAGCCGGCCUGAGAGGGUGACCGGCCACAGUGGGACUGAGAUACGGCACAGACUCAUACGGGAGGCAGCAGUGGGGAAUAGUGCACAAUGGGCGGAAGCCUGAUGCAGCAACGCCGCGUGCGGGAUGACGGCCUUCGGGUUGGAAACCGCUUUCGCCUGUGACGAAGCGUGAGUGACGGUAAUGGGUAAAGAAGCACCGGCUAACUACGUG
rnacentral:rRNA from 1 species